rnacentral:rRNA from 1 species
AGCGAACGCUGGCGGCAGGCUUAACACAUGCAAGUCGAGCGCUCCGCAAGGGGAGCGGCAGACGGGUGAGUAACACGUGGGAACGUACCCUUUGGUUCGGACAACCCAGGGAAACUUGGGCUAAUACCGGAUACGUCCGUAAGGAGAAAGAUUUAUCGCCAAAGGAUCGGCCCGCGUCUGAUUAGCUAGUUGGUGAGGUAAUGGCUCACCAAGGCUACGAUCAGUAGCUGGUCUGAGAGGAUGAUCAGCCACAUUGGGACUGAGACACGGCCCAAACUCCUACGGGAGGCAGCAGUGGGGAAUAUUGGACAAUGGGGGCAACCCUGAUCCAGCCAUGCCGCGUGAGUGAUGAAGGCCCUAGGGUUGUAAAGCUCUUUUAGCAGGGAAGAUAAUGACGGUACCUGCAGAAAAAGCCCCGGCUAACUUCGUGCCAGCAGCCGCCGCCG